AGAUUUAUAUUUACAUUUAGUUUGAUAAUUUUGUUUUAAAACGGAUUUUUUCCUAGAUUUUAUUAAUAGUUUUAAUAAAAAUAAAUUAUUAAAUAAAGAAAAAACUAGUUCUAAUUAUUAUUAAUAUAUUUUUUUUCUGGCAUCCUAAUUUUAAUAAUUGAAAGUUAUGAAAGUAAAUUAAUUAAUUAAGAUACAUAAUCUUAUAAGGUUUCUCCAAAACAAGCUCUUAGAAGCCAUUUGGCAUUCUAUUCUUUCGACAUUUGUGACUUUUUAAAUUUUAGUUUAAUCUAUGUUAUUAUAAUAAUUAAUAAAUUUCAAUGCGUUGAUUUUAACAAGUCAAGUUACAUGAUAUGCAGGUUUUUAUGCCUACUUAUACUGAAUGUGUGUGAUUCAGUUCAAUUCCCCUAAAACACAAACAUGUCGAUGCAGUUAUAGGGGGUGUCAAUCCAGUCCACUGUAUUGCUAGCAAUCAAGAUGUGUACAGAGACGACUAAGUCAAGCCAGAUUAUAAUGAUGGUGGGUUUCUAGUAACAAUCCUAGGUCAGAAUUCGAACAAGUAAAAAUGAGAACUUAAGAGCCCUACUCGAUCAUUGGGUCAAGUAGAACCAACAUGUGACAAAAUUAAGAACUAAAAUGCAAUCAACAGGGGAUACAAAUAGGGGAUACAAAUAACAGGUAAAUAAAAGUGCAAUCAACAGGGAAUACAAAUAAAUCUAAUAGAAGUUCUAAGGAUGGAUUCAUUGAUAAGGGCAACUCUUGGAUUCAUCAAAUGGCUAAUAGGCGAAAGGUAGAUAGAUACCCAUGACGAUAGAUUCAAAAACCGGGUCAAUCCACUCUCGUGACAGAGACCCCCAUAACUCUACCACUUUCUAAUCUCAACUCUCGUUGAUGAAACAUAGCAGAGCAGGGUUUAAGAAACAAUCUACCAAAGCCAGUAGGCAGACAAGCCAAUCUCUUGGUCGAGUCUACAAAUCUCUAGAAUUCGUAGGUCAGACAUCCAUUUGAACGUCUUUUGGACGCUGGACGUCUAAGAUCGAAUCUUCACAUUAGCCAGCGAAAACCGCAUAGGGGCCAAGCGAAUCCAGAAGGGCAUAAACCUAAACACUAACCAUCUAACUAACCUAGAGAUUACCCUAAUCUU
rnacentral:sRNA from 1 species